rnacentral:rRNA from 1 species
GACGAACGCUGGCGGCGUGCUUAACACAUGCAAGUCGAACGGUGAAGCGCCUUCCUUUUUGGUGGGUGUGGAUGAGUGGCGAACGGGUGAGUAACACGUGAGUAACCUGCCCCCUUCUUCUGGAUAACCGCAUGAAAGUGUGGCUAAUACGGGAUAUUCUGGGUCUGUCGCAUGAUGGGUCUGGGAAAGAUAUUGUUUCGGUGGGGGAUGGGCUCGCGGCCUAUCAGCUUGUUGGUGGGGUGAUGGCCUACCAAGGCGGUGACGGGUAGCCGGCCUGAGAGGGUGGACGGUCACACUGGGACUGAGACACGGCCCAGACUCCUACGGGAGGCAGCAGGGGGGAAUAUGGCACAAUGGGCGCAAGCCUGAUGCAGCGACGCCGCGGGAGGGAUGGAGGCCUUCGGGUUGUGAACCUCUUUCGCCAGUGAAGCAGGCCUGCCUCGUUUGUGGGUGGGUUGACGGUAGCUGGAGAAGAAGCGCCGGCUAACUACGUG